UCUCUCUCUCCUAAGCAGAGAGGAGAGACGAGCCUCCAUUCCUGUAAAGUGUAAACCCAAAAUCCUUUUCCUUCUUUUCUUAGGUUUCUUCUUCUUUUUCAAAUUGGGAAAUGAAAAAUUAACUCGAAGCCGGCGAUUCAAUUUGAUUCGAUUCAAUGUACAAUGCUCUGAGCUUUCAGGAAUCGGAAAUCAAAAUUUUUAUUUACCAGAUUUUCUCUGUGUGUUUGGGGAGGCUGAAGGAUGGGUCUCUGCAACUCCAAACCAUCUCCAAACCCUUGCACUUUAGCAUCUCCUGUGCCGGACACUAGAAUCGCCGAUGUUCGAGCUAAUGAUAAUUCUAUUCCGCCCAAGGAUGUGCCUAAAUCAGAUUUGGCCGCCGGAAAUGGAGGGGAAAACCACAACGAGGAAGAGAAGGAGAAAACUGGAAAGAAUGAGAAAACGGUAUUAGAGAGUGUUAAGAAGUCGCCGUUUUUCCAGUUUUAUAGUCCCAGUCCUGCGCACUACUUCUUCUCCAAGAAGUCGUCGGCGGGGAGGUCGCCGGCGACAAAUGCGGCCAGUGCGAACUCCACGCCUAAGCGUUUCUUCAAGAGGCCGUUCCCCCCGCCGUCCCCUGCCAAGCAUAUACGCGCUGUACUGGCACGGCGGCAUGGAUCAGUUAAGCCGAAUGAGGCUGCGAUUCUGGAGGGAAGCGAGGCGGAAGUAACCGGGCUUGAUAAGAGCUUUGGAUUUUCCAAGCAUUUUGGUAGCAAGUAUGAGCUGGGAGACGAGGUUGGGAGAGGACACUUUGGGUACACUUGUCAGGCUAAGUUUAAGAAGGGCGACCUUAAAGGGCAGCAGGUUGCCGUCAAAGUCAUCCCCAAAGUGAAGAUGACCACAGCCAUUGCCAUUGAAGAUGUGAGAAGGGAGGUCAAGAUAUUACGAGCAUUAACAGGACAUAACAAUCUAGUACAAUUUUAUGAUGCAUAUGAAGACCAUGAUAAUGUCUAUAUAGUGAUGGAGUUAUGUGAAGGAGGGGAACUCUUGGAUAGAAUACUUUCAAGGGGUGGAAAAUAUACAGAGGAUGAUGCAAAAGCUGUCCUAAUACAGAUAUUAAAUGUUGUUGCAUUUUGCCACCUUCAGGGUGUGGUGCACCGAGAUCUUAAACCUGAGGUAAACGUAUUCUCAUUUUAUUUGACUUGUGUGUGUAGUGGGAUGAAAACUGUCUAUGCAUCUUCUUUUGAGAGUCUUAUUGGUGGACAUUGGCAAUAUUUUGGGAGGCCUCAUGGCUAGGACUUCAGAGACCUUUCCUGCCAAAAUCUUAGGAUUUUUCUUUCCUUAUUGUAGUUGGGACCAUAUUACUGAAAACUGAGCACCUGGAUCUGAUUGCACGAUAAAGAUCAGUGUUCAUUUAUCAUGGAUUUUUAAUUACCAUGGAAAUGUUGCCUAUAUGCCUGUAAGAAGCCCUAGUUGUGUUCUUUUGAAAGUUACAAGUGUGAUAUAGGCUUGCCUUCCUUGAAGAUAGAGGUGUCUAAAAGUUCUGCUUGGCUUUGUUCAACUUGCAUCUCCAUUUCAUGCUUUAUUUGGAGCUAGGUUCAAUGUGAGGCAUGAUCAGAGGAAAGCGGCACAUCUGAUGCCAUCUCUGGUAUUUUGGUAGGUGUGCCAUUUUUAUUUAGUUACCUGAAUGCAAAUAGUAAAAGGGUAGGGUGAAUGACCUGACUGAAAUUGGCCGCAUUCAAAUUUAUUUCUGAGAACAAUUUGGUAAUUUGACUGCAUAUUUUCUCACUGCAUGUGGUAUAUGUAAUUUCUUUUGUCAUUCAUGUAUUCUUAUCUAAGUGUAGCUACUUGCUAGAUCAGAAUUUCCUCUUCACUUCAAAGGACGAAAACUCGCUAUUGAAGGCUAUAGAUUUUGGCUUGUCAGAUUUUGUUAGGCCAGAUGAAAGACUGAAUGACAUUGUUGGUAGUGCAUACUAUGUAGCACCUGAGGUUCUACAUAGAUCUUAUGGUAUAGAGGCUGAUGUCUGGAGUAUAGGUGUGAUUGCAUAUAUUCUUUUGUGUGGUAGCCGUCCUUUUUGGGCCCGGACUGAAUCUGGGAUCUUUCGGGCUGUUCUAAAAGCUGAUCCAAGUUUUGAUGAGGUGCCUUGGCCUUCUCUAUCUUUUGAGGCAAAAGACUUUGUCAAGCGCCUAUUAAAUAAAGACCAAAGAAAAAGAUUGACUGCUGCCCAAGCCCUAUGUCAUCCCUGGAUUAGAAGUUCUAAUGAGGUCAAGGUGCCUUUGGAUAUUCUAAUAUUUAAACUCAUGAAGGCUUAUAUGCGUUCUUCAUCUCUUCGGAAAGCUGCUUUAAGGGCUUUAUCUAAAACAUUGACAGUUGAUGAGUUAUAUUAUUUGAAGGAGCAAUUUACACUGUUGGAACCAAACAAAAAUGGCACUAUAAGCUUAGAAAAUAUCAAAACGGCCUUGAUGAAAAAUGCAACUGAUGCUAUGAGGGAUUCGCGCAUUCCUGAUUUUCUAGCCUCUCUUAAUGCACUUCAAUACAGAAGGAUGGAUUUUGAGGAAUUUUGUGCAGCUGCGUUAAGUGUCCAUCAACUAGAGACUCUCGAUAGAUGGGAGCAACAUGCUCAUUGUGCCUAUGAACUUUUUGAGAAGGAUGGUAACAGGGCCAUUGUGAUUGAGGAACUGGCAUCGGAACUCGGCCUUAGCCCUUCUGUCCCUGUACAUGCUGUUCUCCAUGAUUGGAUCAGGCACACUGAUGGAAAGUUGAGUUUCCUCGGAUUUGUAAAAUUGUUGCAUGGUGUUUCUAGCCGGAACCUUGCAAAAGCUCAAUAGAAGUUUCUUAACUAUGCAGAAGCUCCAAAAGACUUGGUGUAUGUCCAUAAGCUGUGUAUUGGUCAAUAAAAAACCAGAGUGAUAGGCACUUUGCAGACGAUUCUUAGGCCUGAAUAUGAAAAGGUAAAAUUUACUGCCACCGUAACCAUGGUCCAGGAAAUUGAGUUUGGACAGGUUUCCUCCGUGGCACAACCUUGUAUACGCCAAGCAUAAAAUUGUGGGACUCGUGCUUGUGCUACGUUGGCGAUGAAAGCUUUAGGCAUUUAUGAUUUUCAAUGUAAAGCUGUGUAGUUACUUGUGUUUAGAUGCAGGUGAGAUAAAUUUCUCAGAACUGGUUGGCGGACACUUGAUGUUCUUACAUAAUGGACUGGGCUGAUGGGUUCGUGAUUGAAUUGUUUCAUUUUCUAGUCAAAUUCCAAUUGCUCUACUUUGCCGCUGGGAAUUCAUUGUGAGGUUUCUUGGACUAACAACAAGUGUAUUGAGAAGUGAGAAACUGGAAAAGCUAUUGGAUUUGCUACCUCUCCCUGAAUGUUAUUAGCAUUGACAGUUGGGAGUCUAAUUCUCUCUCUUUUUUUUUUUCAUAGAGAAACAGAGAGAGAGAGUGUGUGGGGUGAAAGGAGGAAGAAGGGUGCUUUUGCUUUUCUCGAGGUUUGGGAUUGAAGAGGCAGCGUAGCGAAAAUGGGAGCUGGUGGUCGUAUGUCUGCUCCAAAUGGCGGGACUGAAGUAAAGAAGAAUCCUCUUCAAAAGGUACCAACCUCGAAGCCCCCUUUCACAGUUGGUGAUAUUAAGAAGGCUAUCCCACCUCACUGCUUUCAAAGGUCUCUCAUCCGCUCAUUUUCAUAUGUUGUGUAUGACCUCAUACUCGUAUCCAUCAUGUACUACGUUGCAAACACUUACUUCCACCUCAUUCCAUCACCAUAUUGCUACAUUGCAUGGCCUAUUUACUGGAUUUGCCAGGGUUGUGUUUGCACUGGAAUUUGGGUUAAUGCCCACGAAUGUGGCCAUCACGCCUUCAGUGAUUACCAAUUGGUUGAUGACACCGUAGGACUUAUCCUUCACUCUGCUCUAUUGGUGCCGUACUUCUCUUGGAAAUAUAGUCAUCGUCGCCACCACUCCAACACUGGCUCCCUCGAGCGUGAUGAAGUCUUUGUGCCUAAGUCUAAAUCCCAGCUCGGAUGGUAUUCCAAGUACUUGAACAAUCCACUAGGCAGAGUUAUCACACUCACAGUCACCCUCACUCUUGGUUGGCCGUUGUACUUGGCAUUCAAUGUAUCUGGCAGACCUUAUGACCGAUUUGCAUGUCACUAUGACCCUUAUGGCCCAAUCUACAACAACCGCGAGAGGCUACAGAUCUUCCUUUCUGAUGCUGGAGUUCUCGGAGCUUGUUAUCUGUUAUACCGUGUUGCCUUAGUGAAAGGUCUAGCUUGGCUAGUGUGCAUCUACGGUGUGCCCCUUCUAGUCGUGAACGGCUUCCUUGUCCUGAUCACCUACUUGCAGCACACUCACCCAUCACUGCCUCACUACGACUCAACCGAGUGGGAUUGGCUUAGGGGAGCUUUGGCAACCUGUGACAGAGACUAUGGUGUUCUAAACAAGGUCUUCCACAACAUCACCGACACUCACGUGGUGCACCAUCUGUUCUCAGCCAUGCCACACUACAACGCGAUGGAGGCAACCAAAGCAGUCAAGCCACUACUCGGAGACUACUACCAAUUCGAUGGUACCCCCAUUUUCAAGGCAAUGUGGAGGGAAGCUAAAGAGUGUCUCUACGUCGAGAAAGACGAAUCAUCUCAAGGCAAAGGUGUCUUCUGGUACAAAAACAAGCUCUGAGAACACUAGAACAGAAACUCAGCUUGCUUUGUAUUGGUCUUUUGGUACUGUUUGGUCUCUCUGUGUCUUAAGUAUUUUGGAUUUAAGUUAAUUUAGCUAAUGUGUUGUCUUUGCUAGUGAGGGGAGGUUUAUGUUUGAUGAAUUUUUUUUGAUAAAUCAAAGGACAAAAAAUUUAGAAAAAUGUAAAGAGGAUCAAAAUGCAUCCUCCACCUCCUCCUAGUAUGUAAUAAACUACCAGUUUUAAUAUAAAUGGUUGUGUUUGUG
rnacentral:misc_RNA from 1 species